CGGGGUGAGUAAUGCUUGGGAAUCUGGCUUAUGGAGGGGAUAACUACGGGAAACUGUAGCUAAUACCGCGUAGUGUGAGAGACGAAAGUGCGGGACCGAAAGGCCGCAUGCCAUGAGAUGAGCCCAAGUGGGAUUAGGUAGUUGGUGGGUAAGGCCUACCAAGCCUGCGAUCUCUAGCUGGUCUGAGAGGAUGGCCAGCCACACUGGAACUGAGACACGGUCCAG
rnacentral:rRNA from 1 species